UUGAGGGGUCUUCUUGUAAUUGAUUGUAUGGGUGGCUCCCAACUUCUUUGCAAAUUCCAAUUUCUCGUCUGAGGAAGAUGUGACAGUGACAUUCGCUCCUGCUGCUAGGGCGAACUGAAGGGCAAAGGUGGAGACACCGCCAGUGCCUAAAACCAACACAUUAUUUCCUGGUUUUACCUGAUGCUCCUUGGAUCCAAACAACCCAUUCCACGCUGUUACGGCUGCGCAUGGCAAAGUUGCUAUUUCUUCAAACGACAGAUUCUUGGGAGCAUGCACAAGAGCAUGCGCAGGUAAGACAGCAUACUUUUGAAAGCAACCAUCUCUCGUUCCACCUAAAGCGCUAUGUGUCGCAAAAUCAGUAGGCGUACCAUCCAAAUAAUUGGUGAAAAAGUUACACACCACAGAGUCGCCCUUCUCAAAUCCUUCCACAUCCUCUCCUACCUUUUCAAUUAUACCAGCGCCAUCCGAACCUGGAACGACUGGCAAUUGAAGGGGUAAUGGGUACAACCCUUUGGUAAUAAUCAAGUCACGAUAGUUCAAAGAUGCCGCCUUGAGUUUUACCAAAACUUCGCCUGGGUUCAAUUUUUGAGGAACUUCGUACUCUUCAGGUUUAAGUUGAUCAAAUCCGCUAAUUUCAUCAUGAACAACGUAUCGCAAAGCCAUG